CAGGGAAUCUUGCACAAUGGGCGAAAGCCUGGUGCAGCGACGCCGCGUGGGGGAUGAAGGCCUUAGGGUCGUAAACCCCUUUCAGCAGGGACGAAAAUGACGGUACCUGCAGAAGAAGCCCCGGCCAACUACGUGCCAGCAGCCGCGGUAAGACGUAGGGGGCGAGCGUUGUCCGGAUUUAUUGGGCGUAAAGAGCUCGUAGGCGGUUGCGUAAGUCGGAUGUGAAAACUCAGGGCUCAACCCUGAGACGCCAUCCGAUACUGCGCUGACUUGAAUCCAGUAGGGGAGUGUGGAAUUCCUGGUGUAGCGGUGAAAUGCGCAGAUAUCAGGAGGAACACCCAUGGCGAAGGCAGCACUCUGGGCUGGUAUUGACGCUGAGGAGCGAAAGCAUGGGUAGCGAACAGGAUUAGAUACCCUAGUAGUCCCUGAGCGGGCUGGCAAGGCGCAU
rnacentral:rRNA from 1 species